UAGGGAAUCUUCGGCAAUGGGGGGAACCCUGACCGAGCAACGCCGCGUGAGUGAAGAAGGUUUUCGGAUCGUAAAGCUCUGUUGUUAAGGAAGAACGAGUGUGAGAAUGGAAAGUUCAUGCUGUGACGGUAGUUAACCAGAAAGGGACGGCUAACUACGUGCCAGCAGCCGCGGUAAUACGUAGGUCCCGAGCGUUGUCCGGAUUUAUUGGGCGUAAAGCGAGCGCAGGCGGUUAGAAAAGUCUGAAGUGAAAGGCAGUGGCUCAACCAUUGUAGGCUUUGGAAACUGUUUAACUUGAGUGCAGAAGGGGAGAGUGGAAUUCCAUGUGUAGCGGUGAAAUGCGUAGAUAUAUGGAGGAACACCGGUGGCGAAAGCGGCUCUCUGGUCUGUAACUGACGCUGAGGCUCGAAAGCGUGGGGAGCGAACAGG
rnacentral:rRNA from 1 species